UUCUCCUACGGGGCGCAGCAGUGGGGAAUAUUGGGCAAUGGGCGCAAGCCUGACCCAGCAACGCCGCGUGAAGGAAGAAGGCUUUCGGGUUGUAAACUUCUUUUAAGAGGGAAGAGAAGAAGACGGUACCUGCAGAGGAAGCCACGGCUAACUACGUGCCAGCAGCCGCGGUAAUACGUAGGUGGCAAGCGUUGUUCGGAAUAACUGGGCGUAAAGGAUGCGUAGGCGGUUAAACAAGUUAUAUGUUAAAUAUAUAGGCUUAACCUGUAGAAAGCAUAUAAAACUGUUUA
rnacentral:rRNA from 1 species